rnacentral:rRNA from 1 species
GGAUGAACGUUGGCGGUGUGCCUAAUACAUGCAAGUCGAACGGAGUUAAUAGCAAUAUUGACUUAGUGGCGAACGGGUGAGUAACGCGUUGGUGAUCUGCCUCGAAGUGUGGAAUAACGUUCCGAAAGGAACGCUAAUACCGCAUGUGCUCUCGAUUUUUAGAAAGUUGAGAGUAAAGGAUUUAUUCGCUUCGAGAGGAGCCUGCGUCCCAUCAGCUGGUUGGUAGGGUAACGGCCUACCAAGGCUAUGACGGGUAGGGGACCUGAGAGGGUGGCCCCCCACAAUGGAACUGAAACACGGUCCAUACACCUACGGGUGGCAGCAGUAGGGAAUAUUAGAAAUGGACGAAAGUCUGAUCUAGCAACACCGCGUGUGCGAAGAAGGCCUUCGGGUCGUAAAGCACUUUUUGGAAGGAAUAGGAAGGAAUGUACUUCCAGAAUAAGUCUCGGCUAACUACGUGCCAGCAGCCGCGGUAACACGUAGGAGGCAAACGUUAUCCGGAUUUACUGGGCGUAAAGCGCGUGUAGGUGGUUCUGUAAGUAGGGCGUGAAAGCUCCCGGCUCAACUGGGAGAGGCCGUUCUAAACUACAGAACUAGAGGAUGGUAGAGGGAGGUGGAAUUCCAGGUGUAGCGGUGGAAUGCGCAGAUAUCUGGAGGAACACCAGUGGCGAAGGCGGCCUCCUGGACCAUUCCUGACACUCAGACGCGAAGGCUAGGGUAGCAAACGGGAUUAGAGACCCCGGUAGUCCUAGCCCUAAACGAUGUAGACUAGGCGUCGGUGGUUUAAUCACCAUCGGUGUCCAAGCUAACGCGAUAAGUCUACCGCCUGGGGACUACGGCCGCAAGGCUGAAACUCAAAGGAAUUGACGGGGGCUCACACAAGCGGUGGAGGAUGUGGCUUAAUUCGAGGCUACGCGAAGAACCUUAUCCUAGUCUUGACAUGCAUGGAUUAACUCCUGGAAACAGGAGCCACGCCUUCGGGUGGAACAUGCACAGGUGCUGCAUGGCUGUCGUCAGCUCGUGUCGUGAGAUGUCGGGUUAAGUCCCUUAACGAGCGAAACCCUUGUCACUAGUUGCCAGCGCGUUAUGGCGGGGACUCUAGUGAGACUGCCGGUGUUAAACCGGAGGAAGGUGGGGAUGACGUCAAGUCCUCAUGGCCUUUAUGACUAGGGCUGCACACGUCCUACAAUGCCACGUACAAAGGGAAGCGAACUCGUGAGAGCAAGCAAAUCUCAAAAAACGUGGCCCAGUUCGGAUUGCAGGCUGCAACUCGCCUGCAUGAAGCCGGAAUCGCUAGUAAUCGCGGGUCAGCAUACCGCGGUGAAUGUGUUCCUGAGCCU